AACGAACGCUGGCGGCAGGCUUAACACAUGCAAGUCGAACGCCCCGCAAGGGGAGUGGCAGACGGGUGAGUAACGCGUGGGAACAUACCCUUUCCUGCGGAAUAGCCCUGGGAAACUGGAAUUAAUACCGCAUACGCCCUACGGGGGAAAGAUUUAUCGGGGAAGGAUUGGCCCGCGUUGGAUUAGCUAGUUGGUGGGGUAAAGGCCUCCCAAGGCGACGAUCCAUAGCUGGUCUGAGAGGAUGAUCAGCCACAUUGGGACUGAGACACGGCCCAACCUCCUAGGGGAGGCACCAGUGGGGAAUAUUGGACAAUGGGCGCAAGCCUGAUCCACCCAUGCCGCGUAGGUGAUGAGGGCCUUAGGGUUGUAAAGCUCUUUCGCCGAUGAAGAUAAUGACGGUACUCGGAGAAGAAGCCCCGGCUAACUUCGUGCCAGCCGCCGCGGUAAUAC
rnacentral:rRNA from 1 species